rnacentral:lncRNA from 1 species
CUAUAAACCACAUGCUGACCGAGCCCCACAUCUACAACACUCUUUGAUGUUACGCGGUUCACUACCUUUGGCCAAUAUAAUGGAUACAAAAUGAUGUCUCAUUGAUUUGUAAUUCAGUUUCCCUGAUUGUUAGUGGAAUUGGGAAUCUUUUCUGUAUUAAGUGUCCGACCGAGUCACUAAGGUUUUUCUCUCUGUGAAUUGUGGGCAUGUUGUUGUUCAUUCUUUUAGAUUCUUUUGUUGGAGCCAUGUGGAAAUUCUUCGUUCUUGUGCAUACCAUGUAUUUGUUGACGGAGUUACCUUGCCUCUGAAUGAAGAGGUCUUGUGCCUGUGGGAGAUGGCAGAAAGAAGAGGCCACUAGGGGGCGCCCAAGACCUCAGAAUAGUUCACCUAUACCAGUAAAAGACACUGCGGGCUCAGCUGCCUGCCUCAGAAUUGGAGGCCUCCAUCUGCCCAGACUCUGGAAUGAUCCAGGAAGGCCUGCACGGGCUCAUUGGACAGGGAAGAGUAUGGCUGGCUCCGAGAGGAGAGAGAGAAGCGGCAUUUCCAGACUUCCUCGGGCCCAGGGUGUAAACCACUACCUGCACCUCCCCUCUCCUGGAGGAAGGGACAGAAAAUGCAGGCACGGGCUCCUGGGGGCCAAGCACAGGGAAGGGAGAGGUGAGGGCUGGGCCCAAGCCCGGUCCUGUCUGUCGCAUGGUGUCCCCCACGCUGUUCCUCGCUAGAAAAGAG